GCUGCUAUGGCUCAGUAGGUAGAGCACGACCUUGGUAAGGACGAGGUCACCGGUUCAAGUCCGGUUAGCAGCUCCA
rnacentral:tRNA from 1 species